rnacentral:rRNA from 1 species
UACGUAGGGUGCAAGCGUUGUCCGGAAUUAUUGGGCGUAAAGAGCUCGUAGGCGGUUUGUCGCGUCUGCUGUGAAAUCUCGGGGCUUAACCCCGGGCCUGCAGUGGGUACGGGCAGACUAGAGUGCGGUAGGGGAGACUGGAAUUCCUGGUGUAGCGGUGAAAUGCGCAGAUAUCAGGAGGAACACCGGUGGCGAAGGCGGUGAUCUGGGCCGACACUGACGCUGUAGAGCGAAAGCGUGGGGAGCGAACAGG